UCCCAGCGGUCCAAGUCGCAGCCACGUUUAUUGGGUCUAAGACAUCCGUAGCUUGCUUUACAAGUCUCUUGUGAAAUCUGGCCUCUUAAGGGUCGGGCGUGCAAGAGAUACUGUUUAGCUUGGGACCGGGAGACGUAAUGAGUAUUAAUGGGGUAGCGGUAAAAUGCGUUGAUCCUAUUGAGACUAACAACAGCGAAGGCACGUUACGAGAACGGAUCUGACAGUGAGGGAUGAAGGCUAGGGGC
rnacentral:rRNA from 1 species